UAGGGAAUAUUGCACAAUGGGGGAAACCCUGAUGCAGCAACGCCGCGUGAGCGAUGAAGGCCUUCGGGUUGUAAAGCUCUGUCUUCAGGGACGAUAAUGACGGUACCUGAGGAGGAAGCCACGGCUAACUACGUGCCAGCAGCCGCGGUAAUACGUAGGUGGCAAGCGUUGUCCGGAAUUAUUGGGCGUAAAGGAUGCGUAGGCGGCCUUUUAAGUGGGAUGUGAAAUACCCGGGCUUAACCCGGGAAUGGCAUUCCAAACUGGAAGGCUAGAGUGCAGGAGAGGAAAGUGGAAUUCCCAGUGUAGCGGUGAAAUGCGUAGAGAUUGGGAGGAACACCAGUGGCGAAGGCGACUUUCUGGACUGUAACUGACGCUGAGGCAUGAAAGCGUGGGGAGCAAACAGGAUUAGAUACCCUGGUAGUCCACGCCGUAAACGAUGAGUACUAGGUGUAGGGGAGCCGAUUCUCUGUGCCGCAGUUAACACAUUAAGUACUCCGCCUAGGG
rnacentral:rRNA from 1 species